CAGUCGAACGAAGCACUUUAUUUGAUUUCCUUCGGGACUGAUUAUUUUGUCACUGAGUGGCGGACGGGUGAGUAACGCGUGGGUAACCUGCCUUGUACAGGGGGAUAACAGUUGGAAACGGCUGCUAAUACCGCAUAAGCGCACAGCAUCGCAUGAUGCAGUGUGAAAAACUCCGGUGGUAUAAGAUGGACCCGCGUUGGAUUAGCUAGUUGGUGAGGUAACGGCCCACCAAGGCGACGAUCCAUAGCCGACCUGAGAGGGUGACCGGCCACAUUGGGACUGAGACACGGCCCAAACUCCUACGGGAGGCAGCAGUGGGGAAUAUUGCACAAUGGGCGAAAGCCUGAUGCAGCGACGCCGCGUGAGCGAAGAAGUAUUUCGGUAUGUAAAGCUCUAUCAGCAGGGAAGAAAAUGACGGUACCUGACUAAGAAGCCCCGGCUAACUACGUGCCAGCAGCCGCGGUAAUACGUAGGGGGCAAGCGUUAUCCGGAUUUACUGGGUGUAAAGGGAGCGUAGACGGCGAUGCAAGUCUGAAGUGAAAUACCCGGGCUCAACCUGGGAACUGCUUUGGAAACUGUAUGGCUAGAGUGCUGGAGAGGUAAGCGGAAUUCCUAGUGUAGCGGUGAAAUGCGUAGAUAUUAGGAAGAACACCAGUGGCGAAGGCGGCUUACUGGACAGUAACUGACGUUCAGGCUCGAAAGCGUGGGGAGCAAACAGGAUUA
rnacentral:rRNA from 1 species